ACCCGCUGAACUUAAGCAUAUCAAUAAGCGGAGGAAAAGAAACCAACAGGGAUUGCCCUAGUAACGGCGAGUGAAGCGGCAACAGCUCAAAUUUGAAAUCUGGCUCUUUUAGAGUCCGAGUUGUAGUUUGCAGAGGGCGCUUUGGCUUUGGCAGCGGUCCAAGUUCCUUGGAACAGGACGUCACAGAGGGUGAGAAUCCCGUACGUGGUCGCUGGCUAUUGCCGUGUAAAGCCCCUUCGACGAGUCGAGUUGUUUGGGAAUGCAGCUCUAAAUGGGAGGUACAUUUCUUCUAAAGCUAAAUAUUGGCCAGAGACCGAUAGCGCACAAGUAGAGUGAUCGAAAGAUGAAAAGCACUUUGGAAAGAGAGUCAAACAGCACGUGAAAUUGUUGAAAGGGAAGCGCUUGCAGCCAGACUUGCUUACAGUUGCUCAUCCGGGCUUUUGCCCGGUGCACUCUUCUGUAGGCAGGCCAGCAUCAGUUUGGGCGGUAGGAUAAAGGUCUCUGUCACGUACCUCUCUUCGGGGAGGCCUUAUAGGGGAGACGACAUACUACCAGCCUGGACUGAGGUCCGCGCAUCUGCUAGGAUGCUGGCGUAAUGGCUGU
rnacentral:rRNA from 1 species